AGAAGGAAAGGCGAGUAGGCGAGAUGGGUGCAGGUGCGGGGGGAGCGACUCAGCAGGCGCCCGGGGCAGCUCGACUCCUGCAGGGUGUGGAGCCCGCUCAGGGCACGUGGCUCCCGGCGGCUGCCGUAGAGAACAGAGGCCGGGGAUCUGCCGCUGCGAGCACCUCCCGUCCGGAUCCCCAACUCAGUGCCCCCCGGGCUCCGGGGACGCUCUGGCUCUACAGCUCCCUGCGGCUAAGAGAAGCCUGGAGGCACCCGGCGCGGGCCGACGGAGGCGGUGAAACCGGUGCUGCAGGGUCGGGUCCCACGGAUCAGCGCUCCCCGGGGCCACAGAGAAGAACCCCGGGGCCCUGGGGGCCGGGGUGGCACAAGGUCCUGCGGUGGACGCGGGCUGCCUCCAGUGUUUGUGCAGCUGGGAUCUCCGCCACCCCCGUGAGCGACCCGACUGGCACCGGCGAAGACCUGCGGGGAGGGGGAGAGAGGAGGUUAGGGUGAUCAAGAGGUGGGACCCACAUGGAACAUCAGAACAGGGAGACUACCCCUGCAGCUUGGAGACAGUGGUUGCUAAGGGCGGUGCUGCGUUACAGACACCACAUGGAGCAGCGUAACAGAAACAUCCAUUCAUUGUGAUCUGGAGACCAGCAGGCAGCACAUCACAGUGUUAUAGACGGGCAGUAGAUGAAACACAGAGCAGCCUGGGCUCUUCAUCAGAGCACAGCUCAAGUAAGGCAGAGAGCACUGUAGCAUCCAAAGCGGUGAAAAGCAAUUUUGGAGUUUGGAAAAUGGACAGGGCAGUCCUAAGGAGAUGAGCCAGCUACAAACGUUCUCUGGAGCCCCCAGCAAACAACCUUUCGGACGAAGAGGGCCUCUGAAUCUUCAGUCCAAGUCUCAUACCUGCGCAGGCGCACAGCCCACCACAGGCGGAAGUGGAGCUAGCAUCGCCACCUUCACCCCUGCAGGUUUCCAUGCUAGCAGAGGCAUGAGGGUGCUGCACGUCCUAGCUGGGGCUGGAAGUGGUUUGCAUACAGCGAGCAGAGUUAUGUCAUAGCUAUUCUCUCUAAUCCGUAUGAGGAGUUUCAAAGAUUUAGCUGACAGAGUAAGUUAAAAAUAAACAAACCAACAACAACAACCAAACUUAGGGGCAGCCUUUUUGCUGGCUUCCUGCCAGGGAUUGAGGCGUUGAGGCAGCCAGUCCUUCCAGAGGAGAAAGACAGCUGCAAUGUUCCAGGUGAAAAGUCAGCGAAUUUCCACAGAUCCUGCUGCCAGAGACCACAAAAGGUUUCAGACAACGGCUCAGCUGAUGAUCUGUGCGGGUGAGCGCGUGCGCGCGCGUGCGUGUUUGUGCAUGCGUGUGUGUGUGUGCAUGCAUGUGCGUGUGUACGAAUGUGUGUUCCUCUUAGAAGGUAAAGGCAGGGAGGGUAGACAUAACAGAAGCUGCAAAGUGUCCUCACACGGCCGGCCGAGCAGGCAGGGGUGUACUUACAGUGCAGAUUAAUGAAAAUGUUUCGCUGGCAGGAGGGGUUUGAUUGGCCCGCUGUAAAAUUGCUUGCAGAUUCGAAAACAGCAUGUUUCAUUUCAAACUCGUUCUCUUGCCAUACAUUAGCACUUGUCAAUGUAACCAUUAAGCGCAGGCAGUGCAGAAAUUUAAUUACAAAACCAUUUAUUUUAUUGAAAGAAAAAUAAACUCAAGCUACCUCAAAUGCAUUAGGUAGGUUCAAAACAUGUUCAGCUGAUAACACCCAAGGGUAGGGAGGCUGCUGCAGGAAUAAAUGCCCCUUUCAUGUGUGCUGAGGCCUCGGUAUUAGAAACAGCUGCCUGUAGGUCGCUCUUUAUUUACAUUCAAUUAUGAAUUAAAAAACAGCUGAUUUAAUGAAGGGACCUUUUUAUAUCUGAAGUCACUGGGCUGUGGUACCCAUUCUCGUUCCGUUUUUUUUUUACCUCCCUUUUUAAUCACUGGAAUUAAAAAUGUUAAUGAAGCGAACAGAACUUUUUAUUGAAUGGGUUUCCCCUCCCUACCCACCCUGGAGCCCCAUCUCAGACCUGUCUUUAGUUCCCUAAUAGUGGAAGAAUGCAAGGUCUAUGGUAUUAAAGGAAGUCACAAAAAUGUGCUAAACACA